rnacentral:snoRNA from 1 species
UUCUAUGAGGAGAUUAUUCGUGUCGCCCCUAUCAUACACAAUUAUGGUGAUAGACACCGACAAGCCAAACGUCACUACUGAUC